UCAGAUUAUUGGACUAUGAUAAAGCACUCAAGGGCUAUAUACCUAAGAGAAAAGAUGUCCACGUGGGAAACAUUCUAAAGGAAAUUAGGUCGUCUUUUACUCUACACAACAACGAAAAUUGGACAUAAGCUAGCUUGAUCACCUGAGAUCAAAUCCAGUAUUCAACGGCCUUUAACCACUCGACCGCUGAUGAGGUCUCAUGAUGCAAAGAAAGAAGAUUUUGCAACUUCCGAAAACGCAUGUUGAGAUAAAAGAAGCACAUUAUGAUUACAGAAUACACGGAUCAGACGGCACAUUGAAAUACGUGAGGUAUCGGAAAAAUAAAAAGCUUAUGAUCUUAGAAUGCUAAGGUGGCUAAGAUAUUUUUAUAAAUUGCUAUUUACCUUUGGUGAAGAUCUGAAGUGAAAUCAAAAAUCAACAAGCUCUGAGAUUGAAACAAAUUUCAUUUUAAUCAAACGUAUAUUAUGCAGAUGGCAUGUUUCAAAUUUCUAUAGUUAUUUGGCUCACGUUUCUUUGGACACGUAUAAAAAGGAAAAGGAUAUUAAAGUUAUCUUGUGAAGCUUUUGUCUCAUAAAAUACAUUUUUUUCUGCAUUGUAUAACACUAAUGCUUUUGUAAAUGACCUUUGAAAAAAAUUAAUGUGAGCGUUAUUAUAGAGUUCUAUUCAUUUAAUUUACUGCAUUAUGUAGG